rnacentral:tRNA from 1 species
GGCGAUGGCCGAGGCCUGGGGCAAGGAGCCCGUCGAGAUCGGCGUCGGCGGUUCGAUCCCGUUCAUCGCCG